rnacentral:rRNA from 1 species
AUUGAACGCUGGCGGCAUGCCUUACACAUGCAAGUCGAACGGCGGCACGGGAGCAAUCCUGGUGGCGAGUGGCGAACGGGUGAGUAAUAUAUCGGAACGUGCCCGGUCGUGGGGGAUAACGUAGCGAAAGCUACGCUAAUACCGCAUACGAUCUACGGAUGAAAGCGGGGGAUCGCAAGACCUCGCGCGAUUGGAGCGGCCGAUAUCAGAUUAGGUAGUUGGUGAGGUAAAGGCUCACCAAGCCGACGAUCUGUAGCUGGUCUGAGAGGACGACCAGCCACACUGGGACUGAGACACGGCCCAGACUCCUACGGGAGGCAGCAGUGGGGGAAUUUUGGACAAUGGGCGCAAGCCUGAUCCAGCAAUGCCGCGUGCAGGAUGAAGGCCUCGGUUGUAAC